UACGUAGGGGGCAAGCGUUGUCCGGAUUUAUUGGGCGUAAAGCGCUCGCAGGUGGUCCGUCGCGUCGUGCGUGAAAGACCCCGGCUCAACUGGGGAGGGUCGUGCGAUACGGGCGGACUGGAGGCCAGUAGGGGGAUGCGGAAUUCCGGGUGUAGUGGUGGAAUGCGUAGAGAUCCGGAGGAACACCAGCGGCGAAGGCGGCAUCCUGGACUGGUCCUGACACUCAGGAGCGAAAGUGUGGGGAGCGAACAGG
rnacentral:rRNA from 1 species